UACGUAGGGUGCGAGCGUUAAUCGGAAUUACUGGGCGUAAAGCGUGCGCAGGCGGUGAUGUAAGACAGGUGUGAAAUCCCCGGGCUUAACCUGGGAACUGCAUUUGUGACUGCAUCGCUGGAGUGCGGCAGAGGGGGAUGGAAUUCCUGGUGUAGCGGUGAAAUGCGCAGAUAUCAGGAGGAACACCGGUGGCGAAGGCGGCAUCCUGGACCGGUAUUGACGCUGAGGCGCGAAAGCCAGGGGAGCAAACGGG
rnacentral:rRNA from 1 species